CUCAUGUUUGAAGAUGAAGACCACAUGUAGUGGAAUACAAAUCUGCCGAGAUAAGGAUCUUUUCUGAAUCUUUCAAUUUUGGUGGCUUACCCUGCCAGGCUGCCACAGCAUGUUUGUUGUUAUGUAUGUUUUUACUUCUGUUUUAGAAGACAACCCAGCUAAGAGAUAGUUUCAGAGACAUGAAGCGUGUGAAGUGAAUAACCUGCCAUGUGUAUGACCAUGUACCAGAUCUGCUUGAUGAAAGUCAAAUGCUUUAUUAAGUUUAUCACCCAUAUGAUAAGCAUCAGGAAAUUUUUCUCAACAUGUGGAGUAAUGCUGUUGGUUGCUGUGAAUUCCAUUAUUACGGUUUUUCAUCAUAUACAUUUCGGUGUGCUUCUUAGAAAAGAGCACGCAGUUUCUGUAUGGAAUCGACGAAUCGUGUGGUCCUGGCACGGAGAUUCUUGUGCCAAUGCUGACCUUUGUCCAUGACGGAAGAAGGACUUCCAACAACAAUCUUCUCCAUCCUCAUCUUCCCGACGUACACUCAUCUAGCUUCACUGCUUUUGCUGCUACAACUUGUCUUACUUCACCGACGAGUUGGAACACUUCCGUGGUCGCUACCCUUUGCUGUUACACACCUGCAGUUACUUACCUCGGGAUUAUGGGCAGGUAAUGCAGAGGAAAUUUCGAGAAGAUGGACACCAUAACGUCGCCGGUAUCUCCAAAGUGUCAGCGCGGAUCAUCAUUUGUUGUUGGUAAUAUGUUUGUGUUAGUUAACCCGUUGUCUGCCACGCCUUUGUUCUCCCCGCUCCUUAGCAUGGGCCGCGCCGAAAGGCGCCUGUUUGGCAAUGCACCAAGUUCCCCCUUGUCGAUGCGGUGAUGGAUUCUCCUGUCACCGUGUCAGCC